CUUAAUAGAUUUUUCUCGAUCUUCUGGAGAGUUCUCUCAACUACUCCCUUUCUAUCUCUUAUUUCUCUCACUAUAUCCUCCAUGUUCUUCAGCUUAAUCUUUACGUUUUCAUGGUAUCAGAGCCAGAUGAUCUUUGGAUCCUUCUCGGUUGCGUGUUAUCGAUCAUGUUCGAAGCUUUUGCUGAAGUUUUUCUUAUGGUUAUCGGUGAGAGAUACUGUUUGGAGAUGUUUCAACGAAUGUUGAGCGGAUAAUCGGAGUUUUCUUGUUAUUCAAGGUUCCGAUCUUGUAUCAGUGGGUGUUUUGGGUAAUUUUCCGGCAUCCCUGGUUUUAUUCCGACGAGUUCUUCAAAUUCUAGGGUUUUUUUUGGGUAAUUUUCCGGCAUCCCUGGCUUUAUUCCGACGAGUUCUUCAAAAUCUAGGGUUUUCCGACUUUCGGACCUAGAGUUUUUGUGUUAUCCGAUGACUUUCUCUUCGCUUGAUGGACGUUUUGGGUAACUUUCCGGCAUCUGUGACCUUAUUCCGGUGAGUUUCAGAACCUACAGUUCCGGUGUUGGACCUAGGGUUUUCUCUGUUGAUUGAAGGCCGAUCUUCUCCGGUCGUGAAGAAGGAGGGUAACUCUGUCCUUAUUUCGAGUAUUGUAUGCUUUGUGUGUGAGUAUCUGGUUCCGUAUGUGAGUAUCUAGUUCUGUUAUAUUUUGCUUGUCGAAACUGUUUUUCUUUCAAGAUGGUUCAUUAAUCAUGGCUGUAUCUUGUUCCGUUAUAUUUUGCUUGUCGAAACUGUUUUUCUUUCAAGCUGGUUCAUUAAUUAUGGCUUCUAAUACGAAUGAUGGUACCUCCUCGGUAGACUCUACCAGCCCUCUUUUUGUCUAUUCCUCUGAUGUCCCUGGGGUCUCUCUUGUCCCCACUCCCUUCUCAGGCAGUGGUUAUGGGGGUUGGAGGAGAAAAAUGAUUGUUGCAUUAUCUGCUAAAA
rnacentral:lncRNA from 1 species